rnacentral:lncRNA from 1 species
UCUUAUAAUAAACCAUAAUUGAAAAGAAUAUGAAAAAAGUAUAUAUAUGAAUCACUGCUAUACACUGUAAAUUAAUACAACGUUGUAAAUCAACUAUACUUCAAUUAAAAAUUAAAAAUAAGGAAUUCAGUUUUGUUUAUGGUCAAUACUAUUUAUUCAGCACCCAAUGCAGAUGGAGUCUAACAGGUGGAAAUUAAAUAUUUAAAGUGGUUUCUGGUUUAGCCUGCAUCAUUUUUCCCAUUUACUUUUCUUUUUCUGAAAGUUCUUCCUUAUCCUGUUCUUACAGAAAUCUGAAAGCAAACAGCCUUUUAAUGGGCAUUUAAUAAUAACUAAUAUUUUUGCAGUGAUUUUUAGUUUCCAAAAUAUUUUAUCAUACAUAAUCUCUUUUGAGAUAACCAGCAAUCCUACUCAUAGGAGCUAUUUCUACUUUGCUGUUGAGGAAACUAAGAUUCAGAGAUGGUAGGUAACCUACCCAAAGUUGUGCAGCUGUGAGAGGCACUGCUGGGAUUCAGUCUUUUUUUUUUCUUUUUUAGCAAGUAGUUUAUUUGGGCAAUGCUGGGACACAGGUGGGGAAGAGAAGACAGCCAAUACAAUGUAUGUGAUAAAGCCAGCUACCUUGGUGGAUAACUGGAAGUUAAUCUCACUGGGAAACCCUGGAAGCAGUGCCCAACAUGUGCCCCAGAAUUAUCUCACUUGAGGGGCAAAGGACUGAAGUUCUGAUACACCCACCCCUGAGAGUUGGGGACUGUUCCCAGGGACUUGUUAAUAUCCUGGUACAUUAAGGCAACAGCNNNNNNNNNNNNNNNNNNNNNNNNNNNNNNNNNNNNNNNNNNNNNNNNNNNNNNNNNNNNNNNNNNNNNNNNNNNNNNNNNNNNNNNNNNNNNNNNNNNNNNNNNNNNNNNNNNAAUAAUUGGAUGUCCUACGAAAAGAGCUGCCUGAGCCCAUUCUUCUGUCUCUAAGAAGGCCCCAUGGAACCCAUGCUCCAUCCUUCUCGACAGUGAUAAUUUCUGGCCUUAUGUUUUUUCCCUAAUAUAUAUGUUUUAUUGAAGUAGAAUUGACUUACAAUGUUUCAGGUGCACAGCAAGUUUAUUUAGGCACACAUAUACAUGUAUAUUAUUUUUCAGACUGUUUUCCAUUAUAGGUUAUUACAAAAUAUUGACUAUAGGUCCCUGUACUAUACAGUAAAACUUCGUUGCUUGUUUUAAUUAGAAAUCUAGCAUCCUAUUCAUGCUGAGUCAAACAAGUGGAAUCAAAAUGUCAUAAAUUUUUUAAAGAUUCAUAAUAUUUCUAAAAUAUAUUACACAAAUUAUUUAUAUAUAUGUAUAAAAAAAAGCUUUUCUGUUACGCUUGAUAAAGAACAUAAAAAAAAACAAGAGAUGNNNNNNNNNNNNNNNNNNNNNNNNNNNNNNAAGCACUGAAUAUGAAAUUUAAAAAAGUGAAACAAACUAGAUAAAAGAUCAUCAAACAUGGAUGCUUGUUAGAAAUGUAUCUGGAGCUUUGGAGAAAAGAAAAGCAAUACCUGGGCAUUUGUAUUAAAAAAAAAAAUCCAGGAUAAUUCAAAGUUACAUUUUCUGUGCCACAUCUCAAGACCUUUCCUCACUGCCACCUUCUUCCUUUCUCUUUAGAAAAUGACAAUAUCACAUGACUCUGGUGUUCUAUCUUCUUGUCAAACAUGCCCAAAGUCAGCCUUUCAAGAAAGUGUUUAUACUUAUUAGGCAGAUGUAGGCAAACUAGAACAUUCUCUCCUUUAAGCUUGUGUAAAAUCUUGAGUCCUAGAGUCUAAAGGUUGGUGAAAUCAAUAAUUAACAUCACUGGUACAAACUACACUCAAAGGCUACUUCUUGAUUUAUCUUCAUUCCCAACCUAAACUACAAAAAUGCAUCAAUAUAAGGAUAGGAAUGGGAAUUUCUUUCAAACGCUUUACAAUGAAAGCUAUGUUAAGGUAAAGAACUUUUAACACUGAUUCUGGCUUAAGCACUGAUCAUCCAUUAAAAUAAAAUAUUAAACAAACUUUACUCCAAAAGGCUAGAAAUGGCCAGUUUUAGGAAAAGAGAACUAUUUCAAUGCAUGGUUUGGUUCUGAAUGUGAGGCAGAGCUAGGCAUUUAUGCUGAUGAGGGGAUGUGCUAUUAGAUAAGUAUUCAUAAUUCACAUUUUGUAAUUCGGAGUGACUGUGUUUUCUCAUCACACACCUGCUGGUGAUCACCUAUGCAGUACCCAAGGUGGACCCUGGCUGGUCCACCACAAACAUUUGUGACCCAGAGUGAAAACACAAAGGAGAUCCACAUACUUUAUGUCUAAGUAUUUAAAUGUUAUAAAUGGACAACUGGAUAAAUGGUGUACCUUGGCAGAUGUGCCUCUAUAAUGACCUAGAGGGCCAGGCUGGAAUCUGGAAUCGUUAGACUCCCCAAACCUCCUGGUUGGAGCACAGAGGCAUAGGGAGACGUAGGCCCUGACACUCGCCCAACCCUCCCACCCAUCCUGGCCCUAUCCUCAACUCUGAGCAGCUUUAUGCCAACAACGUGGACACCCCAGACCACCCACUGAGCUCUGUCCUCACUACACAGGCAGCUGGUCCCUGGCUGGAGUCCUCCUUCCAUAAGCAGAGCUGUCUCACGUGAGGAGCCAGAGCAGAACCCUCUAAAUUAUGUAUCCCAGGACAGGGCCCCUCCUGCCUGGGUCUAAGCAUACUUCUGCGCGCUGAUGUCCACUCCAAUUUACUAAUCAUGCAAAAUGCCCAGAAUGUUCUCUUUCAACUAGCCUUGGAGGGAGGAACUGACAGGCCACCACCCAAAAUGUGCAGCCAUGCAUGUGCUAUCCUGCUGUUUCGGGUGGACUAGAUACGUGAAAUACAGUUCCCGGCAUUCUGUGUGGUCAGACAUCACCUAAUAAAACUGUGCUUUUUAAUUGUCCUUUUUCCUGUUUGACUGUUUUUCUGUUUUGUUGGUGGAGUAUUUAAACUCAGAAACCACUAGAUCUUAAUUUGUUUUCAUCCAUCAUGGCUGGCUUCUUUUCUCCCAUCUCAUAUUGAAAUUUUGAACUAGCUUCACCAUUGGGUUCAUGUAAAAUUAAUUGUACAGUUUCUCUGCUUGUUUGGAUAACACAGAGCUUAUACUUUUAGACACUUUCAGGUUGUAAUUAUAUAAAAACACACUAAGAAAUACUGGUAAUUUCUACUCUCCCUAUUUUUAAAGCUGUUUAGAACAGGGUCUAGAACCAAGAUAUUGACUCCCUUCAGCCCUCAGGCAGUUGGUGAGGCCUGGCAGCUGGAGCUCGGUGACUACUGUUCCAUUUUCUAGAAGCCUCCUUCAUUUACUCCAAUGUGUUAUCAAUAUCUUAUCAUUUUCUAAAUAUGUGCUGAAGUUAAAGAGGUUUGGUAGCUUUGCAAAAGUAUUUUCAU